UAUGUUUACUUUCCUUACGGCCGCAAGAGGUUGAUCCUAACAUUAGCCCCAUUAGAUCCUAUUAUUGCCCCAUGAGGCAACGAAGAACCCCAAAGGUGACCUAAUGUGCCGCACCCCAAGCCCGCCUGCCAGGGUAGGACCUGUGCUCGGUGGGAGCGGGGGAAGAGGACAGAUACUCUGGGUCCCACCGCCUCGCUUGCCUCGGCAUCACCAAGGCAACAAGCUCUCCCUUGCCGUUGCCAGGGAAACCGGCUGAACUCUCGCUUUCUCGCACCUUCACCAUGGAGACAGCCAACUGGAAAGCCGCUCCUCGAGUGGGAGGGGGUGCCGCAGAGGCAGAGGCGAGAACGUGCCUCCAGACGCUCCUUGCCUGAACUCAUUCAUUUCACGAUGUGGCUUUUAGUUCUACGACAUUCUGCCGUGAUGCCUGGGUUCUUGCCAUAACACAAGAUGCCUUUACGGCUCUCAGCACCUAGGAAAUUCUAAGAAGCUCCGUGCCAGAAAUGGGGACAAAGACCGAGUGCAGUAAAACGUCGGAUUGCGAGGAACUUAUGUUCCGCAAGACGAGCAAACAUUUCUAAUAAAAUUUAAUUUGAUAAACGA